GAUGAACGCUGGCGGCGUGCCUAAUACAUGCAAGUCGAGCGAACGGACGAGAAGCUUGCUUCUCUGAUGUUAGCGGCGGACGGGUGAGUAACACGUGGAUAACCUACCUAUAAGACUGGGAUAACUUCGGGAAACCGGAGCUAAUACCGGAUGAUAUUUUGAACCGCAUGGUUCAAAAGUGAAAGACGGUCUUGCUGUCACUUAUAGAUGGAUCCGCGCUGCAUUAGCUAGUUGGUAAGGUAACGGCUUACCAAGGCAACGAUGCAUAGCCGACCUGAGAGGGGGAUCGGCCACACUGGAACUGAGACACGGCCCAGACUCCUACGGGAGGCAGCAGUAGGGAAUCUUCCGCAAUGGGCGAAAGCCUGACGGAGCAACGCCGCGUGAGUGAUGAAGGUCUUCGGAUCGUAAAACUCUGUUAUUAGGGAAGAACAUAUGUGUAAGUAACUGUGCACAUCUUGACGGUACCUAAUCAGAAAGCCACGGCUAACUACGUG
rnacentral:rRNA from 1 species